CCCCCAUCAGAAGGACAGGAGCACCGCGUCGCAGAGAGCCUCAGGAGUCAUCACAGGUAAGUUUUGUUGCAUUAUGGCAGUGGUCUGUUGCGGCCGCUGGAAGUGGGCCACUUGCAACAAUUUUGUCCGGCCGGCGAUUGCAGGUUAGUUGUUCUUGGUAUCGGCAUCCAUCGCUGCCGUCAUUUGAUAAAAUUGCCGUUCGUCAGGAAGAGGAGUUGCAAUGAGUUGCCCCACGCAGCUGUCAUUGCAUUUUUUGAGAGCUGCUGUCUAUAUGGUGGUGGAGUCGUCUCGUGGCGAAGAAGUCGUCAGAGAGGAUUGUGGCUCGGUCUGUCACCGAAGGAAGCCAGGUGCGCCGCGUCUUGUGGCCAUAGCGUCAGGAUUGGCAGCUUGGGGCCGCCGUUUUAAGAUUUGUAGCAGAGAGCCGCCGCAACGGAAUAGUCAUGGAAAUGGAUGCAAAAAUAGUAUUUGGUACAUUGAGUGGAAUUAAUUUAAGGUACUUAAAGAGGAAGCUAGUCUGGGGUACAUUUUGUAAGAGCUAGUUUGGAGGACCUUUGUUAUUGUGCUAUUGCAGCUGGAAUGCCGCGGUUUUGGAGUCAUCAAGUUGCAAUUAGAUAAGUAUUAUAUUUUAAAUAUAUAUUUCCCAGUAAUAGCUUGUGUUCCCUUGUUUCAAUAGUUAGAGUCUUUGAAGCUGGAGCUGCGUGCUUGACGUCAGCAGGAUGGAGCCGUCCACUAGCAUCUGCUACUUUGUCUGUCCGGUUUGUUAUUAUUUAUGUGUUCUUGAGUAAUCUUUGUAUCGCAUUCUUAUUUAUUUUCCUUUCAUUACAGGUUAGGAGAGAAUUCGUCGAAGAUACAGAACUGAGGAGAAAUAUGCAAUUUGAGGACAAGUUUUGCACCAUAUUGAUGUGGCAUCUGCGCCACGCAAAUUAUCCUUAUUUAUGCGUUGGCGUCAGGAGAUGGAGACGGCAUCAUAAAAUUGUCAACUUUUUGUAUUUAAAAUCGCGAAAGUUGGCGAUUUUGUUUUGCUUUUGCGGUGCCUGUCUCUUAUUGUCGGUUGCGUUGAAGGAUUUACGUGCGUGGCGUCAGGAGUAUGGAAUCGCAUAUCUGUAUCUGCUUGUUUGCCUGGCAAGUAUUACGUUUUUCUGUGUGUCCUUUAUUAAUUUUGUAUCAUAUUCUUAUUGGUUUUUUUUCUUUCU